rnacentral:tRNA from 1 species
GUAGAUAUAGUUUAACAAAAACAUUAGAUUGUGAAUCUAAAAACAGAAACUAACAAUUCUUAUCUACC